GAUGCAACGCGAAGAACCUUACCUACUCUUGACAUCCAGAGAACUUAGCAGAGAUGCUUUGGUGCCUUCGGGAACUCUGAGACAGGUGCUGCAUGGCUGUCGUCAGCUCGUGUUGUGAAAUGUUGGGUUAAGUCCCGCAACAAGCGCAACCCUUAUCCUUUGUUGCCAGCGGUUAGGCCGGGAACUCAAAGGAGACUGUCGGUGAUAAACCGGAGGAAGGUGGGGACGACGUCAAGUCAUCAUGGCCCUUAUGGGUAGGGCUACACACGUGCUACAAUGGCCGGUACAGAGGGCUGCAAAACUGCGAAGUCAAGCAAAUCCCAGAAAGCCGGUCUUAGUCCGGAUUGCAGUCUGCAACUCGACUGCAUGAAGUCGGAAUCGCUAGUAAUCGCGAAUCAGAAUGUCGCGGUGAAUACGUUCCCGGGCCUUGUACACACCGCCCGUCACACCAUGGGAGUGGGUUGCAAAAGAAGUGGGUAGUCUAACCUUCGGGAGGGCGCUCACCACUUUGUGAUUCAUGACUGGGGUGAAGUCGUAACAAGGUAACCGU
rnacentral:rRNA from 1 species